rnacentral:rRNA from 1 species
UAACGCGUGGGUAACCUGCCUUACACUGGGGGAUAACACUUAGAAAUAGGUGCUAAUACCGCAUAAGCGCACGGCUCCGCAUGGGGCAGUGUGAAAAACUCCGGUGGUAUACGAUGGAUCCGCGUCUGAUUAGCUAGUUGGCGGGGUAACGGCCCACCAAGGCAGCGAUCAGUAGCCGGCCUGAGAGGGUGGACGGCCACAUUGGGACUGAGACACGGCCCAAACUCCUACGGGAGGCAGCAGUGGGGAAUAUUGCACAAUGGGGGAAACCCUGAUGCAGCGACGCCGCGUGAGUGAAGAAGUAUCUCGGUACGUAAAGCUCUAUCAGCAGGGAAGAAAAUGACGGUACCUGACUAAGAAGCCCCGGCUAACUACGUGCCAGCAGCCGCGGUAAUACGUAGGGGGCAAGCGUUAUCCGGAUUUACUGGGUGUAAAGGGAGCGUAGACGGCAGCACAAGUCUGGAGUGAAAUCCCGGGGCUUAACCCCGGAACUGCUUUGGAAACUGUGCGGCUGGAGUGCAGGAGGGGUAAGCGGAAUUCCUAGUGUAGCGGUGAAAUGCGUAGAUAUUAGGAGGAACACCGGUGGCGAAGGCGGCUUACUGGACUGUAACUGACGUUGAGGCUCGAAAGCGUGGGGAGCAAACAGGAUUAGAUACCCUGGUAGU